rnacentral:rRNA from 1 species
GACGAACGCUGGCGGUGUGCUUAACACAUGCAAGUCGAACGGAAAGGCCCUGCUUGCAGGGUACUCGAGUGGCGAACGGGUGAGUAACACGUGGGUGAUCUGCCCUGCACUUCGGGAUAAGCCUGGGAAACUGGGUCUAAUACCGGAUAGGAGCCAUUUUUAGUGUGAUGGUUGGAAAGUUUUUUCGGUGUAGGAUGAGCUCGCGGCCUAUCAGCUUGUUGGUGGGGUAAUGGCCUACCAAGGCGGCGACGGGUAGCCGGCCUGAGAGGGUGGACGGCCACAUUGGGACUGAGAUACGGCCCAGACUCCUACGGGAGGCAGCAGUGGGGAAUAUUGCACAAUGGGCGCAAGCCUGAUGCAGCGACGCCGCGUGGGGGAGGACGGCCUUCGGGUUGUAAACUCCUUUCGCUAGGGACGAAGCUUUUUGUGACGGUACCUAGUGAAGAAGCACCGGCUAACUACGUG